ensembl:lncRNA
GAAAGCCGCCGCCCAGCACGCUGCUCCUGGCACCUGAAGACCAGCUCCGGGCUGGGCGGGCAACCACAGAGUGACUUGUGACGAUGCCAGGCAGAGAGCGAAGUUUGCCGUGACAGCAAAGAGCUUUGUUUCAUCUACAGUAGGAAAAUGUGCCAACCAGCCUGCGGGAGAGGCUCAGGAGGCUCCUGAAGCAGUGUGCCUGAAGGCAGCCGGGGGACCACAUUCGUGGCUGCAAGAUACACCUGAUGGGGCCACUUGCUCUUGGUCUGAAGCUGCAGAAGGAAAGAAAUGGCCAAUUCUGCAGUUAAAUAGUCCGGCAGAUAAAGGAAAGGCUGACAAAUCUACCUAGCAGCUGCCACUGCUAAGAGAGAAUGGCGCACCAUUUCCUCUAAAGAGUAGAAAUCACACAACAAACAGGGCCUGCAGAUUGUGGUUAUCAGUCUGGAUGCGAACUUGACCUAACACUGGAAAAAUGCAAAUCCACAAGCACAGAACUGAGACUUCCUAUCUGGUUAGCCAGCUGCUUCCAUACUCAGCCAUCGAUACGUUCUUCGAACUGGUCCUUCUCUUCCCUACAACUACCCAGUGACAACAGGGGUCUUCGGUCACUCAAGGCCAGAGACCUUGGCCUCUAGAGUAUGGAGGGAGCCAUCAGCUUGAUGCAAGCUCUUUGAAGCAGGAUAUAAAAACAUGAAGGCAACAGUCAGGCAUCAUAACAUUUUAUGGUGAACUGAAGAAACGCAGGCUUGCACAGGCCGGUUAACAUUUCAGAAGACAUGCCGGUGCUUGACCUAAAGCAAGGCGGCCCACAAGUGGACUGAAAAACAAUACUAGCUCUCUCUCACAGGGCUUGAGGAGGAGAGUGAUGAAGACGGUUUUUUUUUUUUUUUCCCCAGGUGGAAUAAAAACAAAAACAAAACCCAAAACCAACCAAACAAAAACACAGCCAAGAGGAUGGAGACCGAAGCAUUCCAUGUGGAGCCUCUACUGUUUUAGUUACCCUGAGAGAGGGGAGGACCCCUGACUUCAAUUGGAGAGAGACUACGUAUGCCCUUGGGAAGAAGGCAGCGUGGCUCUUUUCAGCCUGGAGCCGAACUGCUUCCAUGAGCCAGGCAUAAGGCUGCAAAGAGGACCAGAGGAGGAAAACACUGUAAUACUGAGAUAUCAGCAGGUUAACAAUUGUGAAUGCUUCCUUAGCUGGGUGAACCCAAUUCACCACCAGCAAGCAGGAAUUCACAGUAAAGAGUGAGCUCCAAGAACUAAACAGGCAGAGUUCUUUCUAGAAUAAACCAAGGUCGUUGUGGAGGUUGCUGGCAAGGAAGUCUGAAGUGGC